rnacentral:rRNA from 1 species
GACGAACGCUGGCGGCGUGCUUAACACAUGCAAGUCGAACGGAAAGGCCCUGCUUUUGUGGGGUGCUCGAGUGGCGAACGGGUGAGUAACACGUGAGUAACCUGCCCUUGACUUUGGGAUAACUUCAGGAAACUGGGGCUAAUACCGGAUAGGAGCUCCUGCUGCAUGGUGGGGGUUGGAAAGUUUCGGCGGUUGGGGAUGGACUCGCGGCUUAUCAGCUUGUUGGUGGGGUAGUGGCUUACCAAGGCUUUGACGGGUAGCCGGCCUGAGAGGGUGACCGGCCACAUUGGGACUGAGAUACGGCCCAGACUACUACGGGAGGCAGCAGUGGGGAAUAUUGCACAAUGGGAGGAAGCCUGAUGCAGCAACGCCGCGUGCGGGAUAACGGCCUUCGGGUUGUAAACCGCUUUCGCCUGUGACGAAGCGUGAGUGACGGUAAUGGGUAAAGAAGCACCGGCUAACUACGUG